UCCCUGGAGUUAAGUUCUGACUCUUUUGGAUCAGUCUCCCAAUUUCAAGGCAAAGGAAAAUACUGGAGAAUGUGUUCCACAAAACAAGGAAAGAAACCAAGAAGAAGAUACAGGAUCCAGGAAACAAGACCUGAACCAGUAAUGAGGCAAAGGGAUGUCCAGAAAGAGAGAGUGUGCACAAGCAGGGGGAGCAGCAAGCAGAAGGGGAGCGAGAAGCAGGCUUCCCCAUCUCAGAGGGGAGCACAUGGUGGGGCUCCAUCCCAGGACCCUGGGAUCAUGGCCUGCUCUGAUGCCAGAGGCUUAACUGAGUGAGCCACCCACAUGCCCAGGUGCGAGCACAGUGCCCUGGCUCCUAACUGCUCUCCCUGAUGUCAGGUGCAGGCCGCUGGGCUUCUCCGGUCUGGGCUAAGUGUGUCAAAUGCUCCCUUUUCUGUUCCAACGGCGGCUCCCAUGUGUCCCUCUGCAGUCGCAGUUCACAACUGUGAAGGAUUUGUCAGUGUGUUUUUCCCUUUUAGUCUCCUUUCUGUGCCAGCACCCGUCCUCCUCUGCACGUGUGCGAUUCCUGGACGCUGAGUCACGCUCGGGGCAGCCGGCCAGGGCCUGGACUCCUUUGCUGAGCCCUGCUCCCUGGGCCUUCCUGCUGUGCGGAGGGUCCCCUGCCUGUGUGUGUGCUGAGCAGGGCAGGCUCAGAAGUGAGAAUUGCAUGCUUUUCUACCCAAGUCCGGCUCGAGAGAGGAAUGGGCUUGUGGUAAGAAUCAGUGUGUAUUUAUCAUGGCUCUGGAGGCUUGGGGUUUAUUUUCCUCAAAGGUAGCUUUCUGAAAUAUUUGGAAAUAUUUGCUUAGUUUCACUUGUGUGAUGUGGAGGCUCUUUCAAUUUGGUGUCCCGAAUCCCCUGUUUACACCUUCUAAAGCAGAAGUUAUCUUUCUAGUGGGGAAACAUAAUUCAGUUUUGAUAUUAGGCAAUAUUUUUAAAUGCUGUCUUUUUUAGAAUGAGCUAAAAUUUACAUAAAGUGAAAUGAAUAUAGGUAAAUCCUAAAUCACGGGUUUUGAUAACUAUAUACUCCUAUGUGGUUGUCACCCAAAUCAAGUAAAGAAUGUUUCCAUUGCUCCCAGAAAAUUCUCCUGUUCCUUCUAUUAGUCAACUUUACCCCUAUAAGAACUGCUCUUUUUC